UACAGAGGGGGCAAGCGUUGUUCGGAAUUACUGGGCGUAAAGGGCGCGUAGGCGGCCCGCUAAGUCGAACGUGAAAUCCCCGGGCUCAACCCGGGAACUGCGUCCGAUACUGGUUGGCUUGAAUCCGGGAGAGGGAUGUGGAAUUCCAGGUGUAGCGGUGAAAUGCGUAGAUAUCUGGAGGAACACCGGUGGCGAAGGCGGCAUCCUGGACCGGUAUUGACGCUGAGGCGCGAAAGCUAGGGGAGCAAACGGG
rnacentral:rRNA from 1 species